rnacentral:ncRNA from 1 species
ACCAUAGCAAUGAAAAAGGCGUAGUACAAUUACCCGAUGAUUUUUAGAGAGCUUGUGGUUGGUGCGAACAAGUAUCAAGGUAUAUUGGAAUUGGGCUUUGGAGCUAGUCAGAAAUUUAAAGUGAUCUAACUGUCUAACAGUAAGAUAAUUAGGGUGGCACCGCGGUUCAUUCGUCCCUUGU